UAUGUGAUCGUCUCUCGCAUAUCAAUAAGCGGAGGAAAAGAAACUAACAAGGAUUCCCCUAGUAACGGCGAGUGAAGCGGGAAGAGCUCAAAUUUGAAAUCUUAAAGGGUUUCCCUUUACGAAUUGUAGUUUAAAGAAGUGUUUUCUGUUGAGGUUUUGGUAAAAGUUCUUUGGAAUAGGACAUCAUAGAGGGUGAGAAUCCCGUAUUUGACCUUUACUUUCAACUUUGUGAUACACUUUCAAAGAGUCGGAUUGUUUGGGAAUGCAGUCCAAAAUGGGUGGUAAAUUUCAUCUAAAGCUAAAUAUUGCGAGAGACCGAUAGCGAACAAGUACCGUGAGGGAAAGAUGAAAAGAACUUUGAAAAGAGAGUUAAACAGUACGUGAAAUUGUCAAAAGGGAAGCGUUUGACACCAGUGUUGUUUUUCUGAAAAUCAAUUAAAGAACUGUUUAUGCUAAGUUGUUUAGACUUUAUCAGCUAUCUGCUUAGUUUUGAGCUUUUCUUUAAUGCACUUUUCAGUUAACAAGUCAACAUCAAUUUCUUUUGCUGUAAAAAAGCUUGAGGAAGGUGGCUUGAGAUUCGUCUUAAGUGCUUAUAGCCUCUUGCCUAUGCAGUCGGAGAGAUUGAGGUCUGCAGCGUAGAUCCUUCGGGGCUAAAUGCAUUUGUGCUAAGUUAUAGCAUUUUAUAGACAACUUGUUGACUAUGAUUUGUCUUGUAGCUUACUCGCUUAUGUUAUUUUACCUACGCUUAGGAUGUUGACACACGCGCGUGCUCG
rnacentral:rRNA from 1 species